UACAGAGGUCCCAAGCGUUGUUCGGAUUUACUGGGCGUAAAGGGUGCGUAGGUGGCGAGGUAAGUCGGAUGUGAAAUCUCCAGGCUCAACCUGGAAAUGGCAUUGGAAACUACCUUGCUAGAGGAUCGGAGGGGGGACUGGAAUACUUGGUGUAGCAGUGAAAUGCGUAGAUAUCAAGUGGAACACCAGUGGCGAAGGCGAGUCCCUGGACGAUUCCUGACGCUGAGGCACGAAAGCUAGGGGAGCAAACAGG
rnacentral:rRNA from 1 species